rnacentral:lncRNA from 1 species
AUAUAUCCCAACACAGAUUACAGAAAAGUACCUGCAAAUUAUUAUAAUAUGGUCCAAUGAAAUGAUUCCUCCUCCCAUCCCCCUAAGGAAAAAAACAAACAAGAAACCUCCCCUUCUAGGGUCAAGCUGUAACACUAGUUUUUACAGUCAGAGUAGAGAAUAACACUGGGCUAUAACAGGGGAGUAAAAAUAGGGAAAUUAUCCGGUGUGUCCCAAUUCUCUCACCCUAGGAUUAGGAGCUUGAGCCACAAAUUCAAAUUUUUCUACAAAACUAUAUUUCUGUUGGGUAUUUUGUGUGAGGAGUUAGUUUUUCUAAGUGUUCCACUAUGUUUCCAACACAACCUA